AACGCGAAGAACCUUACCAGGUCUUGACAUGUACAGUAUGGAUUUUUGAAAGAAGAUCCUUCAGUUUGGCUGGCUGUACACAGGUGCUGCAUGGCUGUCGUCAGCUCGUGUCGUGAGAUGUUGGGUUAAGUCCCGCAACGAGCGCAACCCUCAUCCUUAGUUGCCAACACGUAAUGGUGGGAACUCUAAGGAAACUGCCGGUGAUAAGCCGGAGGAAGGUGGGGAUGACGUCAAGUCUUCAUGGUCCUUACGACCUGGGCUACACACGUGCUACAAUGGCGAUGACAAUGGGGAGCUAACCUGCAAGGGUAUGCAAAUCUCAAAAAGUCGUCUCAGUUCGGAUUGCACUCUGCAACUCGAGUGCAUGAAGCUGGAAUCGCUAGUAAUCGUAGAUCAGCAUGCUACGGUGAAUACGUUCCCGGGCCUUGUACACACCGGAGUA
rnacentral:rRNA from 1 species